rnacentral:rRNA from 1 species
AAAGAAACUAUUAUGGAUGGUUAGCUAUAUAUUUCAAGGUUUAUCUAGCAGGAUGCUAGAGAUCAAAGAGAAAUCUUAUAAUCAGACAAAGUGAAUUGAAAUAUCUUAGUAACUUUAGGAAAAGAAAUCAAACGAGAUUAUUAUUUAGUGUCAUCUAAAUAAUAAUAGCCUCAUUCAGUAAGUAAUAUGAAAAUAUUACAUGAAAGUAAAAUGGAAAAAAAUCUGUUUAAAUAUAGGGGAACCUUCCUCUAAGGCUAAAGAAAAUAUAUAAGCGAUAGUGUAGAAGUACCGUGAGGGAAAAAGCUGAAAUAGUAGUUUUAUAAGCAGCUCUAGUGAAAUUUUAAAUAAAUAAUAAGAGUGUACCUUUUGCAUAAUGGGUCAGCAAGUUAAUUUUAGAUGCAAGCAAAAAAUAUUAUAUAAUAAAUUACGUAAAAAAGUAAAAAAUAAAAAUAUUAUUGCUUAGAUAAACCAAUUAUGAAAAAAUGAAUAAGUAUCUAGGAUUAGACCCGAAGGCUAGUGACCUUACCAUGGUCAGGGUUGUAAAAGCCCGAACGGGUUAUCGUUGUAAAGAUAUCCGAUGAACUGUGGUAAGUUAGUGAAAGACAAAACUGACUAGUAUAGCUGGUUUUCCGCGAAACCUAUGUAAGUAGGUAAUUUAAUUAACAUCUUAGCAGGUACAGAACUGUGAUCUCGGACAAUACAAGUGUAUUUGUCAACAUCGGGGGGUUGUAGUGACUUUACCGGAGAGUAUUUGCACUCGGAAGGGCAAAGAUGAAUGUUAAAUAAUCGGACAUAGUGCGAUAAGGUUGUAUGUCUAAAGGGAAACAGCCCAGAACAAGAGUUAAGGUUCCAAAAUUAUUGUUAAGUGAAAUUAAGGAUGUUUUUUUUUAAAACAAUCAGGAAAUAGGCUUAGAAGCGGCCAUUUUUUGAAGAUCUCGUAACAGAGCACUGAUUAAAUGUUAGAAUAAAACACCGAAAAUUUAACGGAUCUAAAAUAAUAUACCGAAACCUUGUACACAUAAUAUGUGGGGUAGCGGAACAUUGGAUAAAAAAUAGAAAUUAAUACUUCUAAGAGGUAUAAUUAAGGUAGGCGCAGUAGUUUAAUAAAAUAUCAAAUUAUAAGAUAUACCUGUAUAAAUUCCAAGAGAGAAUGCUGACAUGAGUAACGAAAAAGGCUUUUAGCCUCGCCUUAAGCUUAUGGCUUCUAUAUCAAAUCGGUGUCUAAAAAUAUUAAUCAAAUGAUAAUUUUGAUGAUGUAAAAUAUAUACUUGUAAAUAGAGUAAAAGACAAAACCUUUAAUAAGUAAUAAAGGUUCUGGAAAAACUUUAACGAAGUUUAUAUAUAAAUGAAAAAAUAUAUAUAAUCAGUAAUAUUCACCGUACCUAGAAUCUAUCCCAAGUAAGCAAGUAGAGUAUACAAAGGCGUUUGAGUGAACAAUCAUUAAGGAACUCGGCAAAUUGACUCUGUACCUUCGGAAUAAGGAGGGCCAUUAUUAUUAAUUUAACAUAUAUAAGUUUUACUUAUAUGUGAUAAAAUUAAAUUAAUAAUAAGAGGAAUCAUAAAAUAAUGUUGUACGACUGUUUAAUAAAAACACAGCACUCUGCAAAGAUGAAAAAUCAAAGUAUUGAGUGUGAUGUCUGCCCAAUGUCGGCUGGGUAACGGAUUUACCUUGGUUAUUAACUGAGGUUUUGAAGGAUACCCCGAUUAAUGGCGGCCUUACCUAUGAGGGUCCUAAGGUAGCGAAAUACCUUGGCCGUUAAAUGCGGUCCUGCAUGAAUGAUUUAACGAUGCAACAGCUGUCUCGAUGAUUGUCUCAGUGAAAUUGGAGUAGCAGUGCAGAUACUGUUUACCUCUAGAUAGACGAGAAGACCCUAUGCAGCUUUACUGUUACUAAUUAACUUGAGAAUAAGUUUAGGAUGAUUUAUAGUGUAUAAGGUAGUUGAAAGAUAAUAAUGAAACACCUUUAUUCGUAUCCUAUUAAAAUCUCUUGAUGAUUGGGAGGCAGUUUAUGCGGGGCACAGAUCCCACAAAAAGUACCUGGGUAUAUCCAAAGUUCAUAUUGUAAACUUGUAUGUUUACAUACAAAUAUUUUAAUUUGUAAUAGUUAUUAUUAUAACUAUACAGUUACUAUUCGAUUAAAUUCUAUAUUUAUUUUUAUUUUAAGUAAGAUUUUAACUAUGCGGUGAAUAGAUGUAUAUUAAACUUUAAUAUUUAAAAGUUUAUAGUUAUAUUAAUAUAGUAUUUGUCUAUAUUAAUAUGAUAUUUAUUUAUACUUUAAAAGUUUAAUGGCUUAAUCUUGCUUUACUGUUUGACCUACGAGUCUAUCAGUCGCGUAAGCGGGGCAUAUGAUCACAAGAUGCAUUAAGGAAAGGUCUUGGAUUAUAGAAAAAGUUACGCUAGGGAUAACAGGCUAAUUUGCGCAAGAGAGUACAAAUUGAGUGCGCGGUUUGGCACCUCGAUGUCGGCUUAGCUCAUCCUCAUGCAUGCAGAAAUCAUGAAGGGUUCGACUGUUCGUCGAUUAAAGAGCUACAUGAGCUGGGUUUAAUACGUCGUGAGACAGUAUGGUUUCUAUCUUCUAGAGGAAUUUAAAGUAAAUUAAAGAUAGCCCCUUCGUACGAAAGGAGUUGGGUAUAUUGAUCUCUGGUUUACCUGUUGUUUAUGGUAUAUAUUAUUUUUUUUAGAGAUAAUUAAAAUUUUAUAUCGAAUGCUUAUACUAAAGUAUUUUGAUCCCAUAGGCAUGGCAGGAAAGCUACAUCAGUUAAAGAUAAGUGUUGAAAGCAUCUAAACGCGAAGCAAACUUUAUUAUACUUUUAAACGUAGUAGAACACUACGAGUAUAAUUGUUAUUAAUAACAAUUAAUAGGCUUUGGUUGUAAGAAUGAAAACAUUUUUAGAUAUAAAGUACUAAUU